GAGACGGUGGGCGCGGGAGGACGGGGGUGAGGAGCCCUCCUCCUCCCCCCACCCCCCGCCGCGGCGCGAGGAGUCGGGGCAGCGGAGCAGAGUCACACCCAGAACCAGCUCCCCUCCGCCCCUUCUUCUCCAGGCCACUCAGUAGAGGCACAGAGCCCACACCUGGCAUACCCCCUCCAGCCGCAAACAAAGUUUGCUGACUGCUGCCUUAGAUGACUGCAACUUCAUCUGCCAUCACGUGAAGCAGAAGAACUGCCAGCGUGAAUCCAACCAACGCACAUCGUCUUCCCCAAACAGGUGGACAGGUGGAGGCCCCAGCACCUUUUCGGCAGGAUUGCACCCGGCAUAGUGAAGUGUUGGCCUAGAGAGGAAGGUAUAUGAUACAGUCAGCCCUACAAUCUUUGGAUGUGGAUCCUGUGGCUAUGGAACCCGAGUAAAUGGACGGCCGAUUGUACUCCUUACGUAAAGGACAUGAGCACCUGCGGAUUUUGCUAUCCAUGGGGGUCCCCAUGGAUACCGAAGGGUAGCAAGUUGCACGUCCCCCAGGGAAAGUGCAGGAGUGGGAGCCUUACCAUGUGCUACGGUGCUCGUGACAGUCUGCUUGGCAGUCACUUACCGAGAAGAAUGAAUGGCUGGCUGCUGCAUAAACCCUCCCCCACAGCUCUUCAAGUCGUUCUCAGCUAUCAUUAAUCAGAAUAAUGGUUCUUAAACUUUGGCGUGCACCAGAACCACCUAGAAGGCUCCUUAAAACACAGAUCCAAGGGUCCACAAACAGAGUUUCCGACUCAGUAGGCCCAGGUUCAACUGAAGAGGCUGUUCUAAGAAAGACAACUGAGAUCAUCAGUCACC